rnacentral:rRNA from 1 species
CACGUAGGCACCAAGCGUUAUCCGGAUUUAUUGGGCGUAAAGAGCUCGUAGGCGGUUCGGUAAGUCGGGUGUGAAAACUCUGGGCUCAACCCAGAGAGGCCACCCGAUACUGCUGUGACUAGAGUGCGGUAGGGGAGCGGGGAAUUCCUGGUGUAGCGGUGAAGUGCGCAGAUAUCAGGAGGAACACCAGCGGCGAAGGCGCCGCUCUGGGCCGUAACUGACGCUGAGGAGCGAAAGCAUGGGUAGCAAACAGG